rnacentral:lncRNA from 1 species
UCAAAGAGAGUUUAAUGAGCUUAGCAAUAUGUGAAAAGGAUUAAGGAUACAGUCGCUGAUCCAGCAAAUCACUUGAUUACAUACUUAAUUCAAUAGGGCCACUUGUGCUCAAAGUUCAGCGUGUGCCCACAAGCUUUGGCUGGGCAGUGGGUGGCUGAAGUGCUGCUGUGGGACUGGGGCACCCAAGUCUGGAUCUGGCCCCUCAAUGCUUACCCCUAAACCCAAGCGUGUGCCCCGUCUGCCACCGCUCUCCUGCUCUGAAGCAGCUCCCAGCAUACACCCUGGGCACACAGCUGAGGUGCCUGAGUUGCAGAAAAUGGGGAAAUUUGGCUAGUUUUGGCCAGCACUCAUCCUCCUGCGGGGCUGGAAGGUAAAUGUCACAUGCAGCCCUGCAGAGCCCCAAAUCUCCCGUUCUCCUUCUGGUUCAUCUAACACUGCUCCCGAUGGGGUUGGGACACCGAGCUUGCAGCCCUCAUUCUGCAGCACCCAGUUCCUCCUCAGAUAUUUGCAUCUGAAACCAGACAGGAAAACACCAGUGUGGGUUCAGGCUUCUCAAGGGAAGGCGUUUGUCAUCGAGGGGGUUGAGAAAAACAGGGAACGAGCACGGUGGUAAAAGCACAGACAAGUUGCAGCAAGUGUCUGGAGCCGUCCGGCCCUGGGGACACGGAGCUGCCCUGGGGAGCCCCGGUCAUCUGCCCCAACGGGGGAAGUCAUGUUUUCACAGGGAAAGGUUAUUAGCAAUCGAACAACAACAAAGCUGUCUGCAGCCCAAAGCAGACUGUUGCAAUUAGGAACUGAUGUUAGCAAAGCACAGAGUGGAUGUGAUUGACCUGCAAGGGGGAGAUGGGAGCUGUUACACCAAUGCGGAGACACAAGUCAUCUUUGAAGGAUCUUGGAAGGGUGCCCUGGGGAAUACAAACCAAGCAGAACACACAGCAUAAGUGCUGGUUGCAGGCAUCUGACAUACGUAGACAUAUGGGACUCACGUGUGACUCACGUUGACUGAAGACAAGGAGUUAUAUCAAGGAGAAAAAAACAUUCCUGGGAUCUAUUGCAGAGGUGGGGAAAUCUCAUUCUAAUGUUAUUACAGACACUCGGUAGUCACAAAUAAAGACCUUCUUCAUUCUCUGCA